rnacentral:rRNA from 1 species
AUUGAACGCUGGCGGCAGGCUUAACACAUGCAAGUCGAGCGAGCGGCGGACGGGUGAGUAAUGUCUGGGAAACUGCCUGCUGGAGGGGGAUAACUACUGGAAACGGUAGCUAAUACCGCAUACCAUCAGAUGUGCCCAGAUGGGAUUAGCUAGUAGGUGGGUUAAUGGCUCACCUAGGCGACGAUCCCUAGCUGGUCUGAGAGGAUGACCAGCCACACUGGAAUGGAGACACGUCCCAGACUCCUACGGGAGGCGGCAGUGGGGAAUAGUGCACAAUGGGCGCAAGCCUGAUGCGGCCAAGCCGAGUGUGUGAAAAGUGCCUUCGGGUUGUAAAGCACUUCCAGCGAGGAGGCGUUACUCGCAGAAGAAGCACCGGCUAACUCCGUGCCAGCAGCCGCGGUAAUUC